rnacentral:sRNA from 1 species
GCUGGGUAUGGUGGCACAUGCCCGUAGUCCCAGUUACUCAGAAGGCUAUGACUGGAGAAUUGCUUGAGCCUAGGAGUUCAAAACCAACCUGGAGCCGGCCUGAUGGUGCACACCAGCAGAUCAGGAGGCUGAGACAGGAGGAUCAUGAGUUCAAAGCAGUCUCAGCAAUUUAGUGAGGCCCUAAGCAACUUAUCCAGAUCCUGUCUA